rnacentral:rRNA from 1 species
GAUGAACGCUGGCGGCGUGCCUAAUACAUGCAAGUCGAGCGAACGGACGAGAAGCUUGCUUCUCUGAUGUUAGCGGCUGACGGGUGAGUAACACGUGGAUAACCUACCUAUAAGGCUGGGAUAACUUCGGGAAACCGGAGCUAAUACCGGAUAAUAUUUUGAACCGCAUGGUUCAAAAGUGAAAGACGGUCUUGCUGUCACUUAUAGAUGGAUCCGCGCUGCAUUAGCUAGUUGGUAAGGUAACGGCUUACCAAGGCAACGAUGCAUAGCCGACCUGAGAGGGUGAUCGGCCACACUGGAACUGAGACACGGUCCAGACUCCUACGGGAGGCAGCAGUAGGGAAUCUUCCGCAAUGGGCGAAAGCCUGACGGAGCAACGCCGCGUGAGUGAUGAAGGUCUUCGGAUCGUAAAACUCUGUUAUUAGGGAAGAACAUAUGUGUAAGUAACUGUGCACAUCUUGACGGUACCUAAUCAGAAAGCCACGGCUAACUACGUG